rnacentral:rRNA from 1 species
GAUGAACGCUAGCUACAGGCUUAACACAUGCAAGUCGAGGGGCAUCACUAGGUAGCAAUACUGAGGUGGCGACCGGCGCACGGGUGAGUAACACGUAUCCAACCUGCCGUUUACUCUUGGAUAGCCUUCUGAAAAGGAGAUUAAUACAAGAUGGUAUCAUAAGUUCACAUGUUCAUAUGAUUAAAGAAUUUCGGUAAACGAUGGGGAUGCGUUCCAUUAGAUAGUAGGCGGGUAACGGCCCACCUAGUCUACGAUGGAUAGGGGUUCUGAGAGGAGGUCCCCCAUACUGGUACUGAGACACGGACCAGACUCCUACGGGAGCAGCAGUGAG